GCAGUGGUCAUUCAAUGGCAGAAUUCUCACCUGCCAUGUGGGAGACCUGGGUUCGAUUCCCAGCCAGUGCU
rnacentral:tRNA from 1 species